UGAUAAUUAGUUUAACCUUUAACAAAUGAAAUCGACUCAUUAAACUACGAUUAGACCCGUUAUUAUCAC
rnacentral:tRNA from 1 species